rnacentral:misc_RNA from 1 species
AAUUCUCAACUGCCUUUUUAGCAUUUAUGUUAAGGGUGAAGUUGGAGUUGGAGGAUAAUUGCUGGCGCACAACUUAGGUUGUUUGUUAGCUCCUCCUAAAUGGAUGAGCUUUUCUGAUAGAUCAUGGCUCAGUAACACUAAUGUGAUAAUUAUCUACAUUAAAUGUGAAAGCUAUGAGUAGAGUAACUUCAAUUUGUGGAGAAGCUCCUAUAGAAAGGGUAUCAUACGUCUUGGGGAUAAAUAAACCCUUGACUUGAAAUAUAAUGACAA